rnacentral:rRNA from 1 species
GACGAACGCUGGCGGCGUGCCUAAUACAUGCAAGUCGGACGCAGUUGCGAACGGGUGAGUAACGCGUAGGUAACUGCCUAGUAGAGGGGGGUAACUAUUGGAAACGAUAGCUAAUACCGCAUACUAGUAGAUGGACCUUCGUUGUAUUAGCUAGUAGGUUGGGUAAUGGCCUACCUAGGCGACGAUACAUAGCCGACCUGGGAGGGUGGUCGGGCAAACUGGGACUGGGGAACGGCCCAGACUCCUAAGGGGGGGCGCAGUAGGGAAAUUUCGGACAUGGGGGGCAAGCUGGCCGAGCAACGGCGGGGGGGAGAAGAAAGUUUUCGGGUCGUAAAGCUAUGUUGUGAAGGAAGCGGUACUUAAACAGAAAGGGACGGCUAACUACGUGCCAGCAGCCGCGGUAAUAC